rnacentral:rRNA from 1 species
GGAUUUAUUGGGCGUAAAGCGCGUGUAGGCGGUUUGUUAAGUCUGAUGUGAAAGGUCCUGGGCUCAACCUGGGAAGUGCAUUUGGAAACUGGCAGACUUGAAUACGGGAGAGGGUAGUGGAAUUCCUAGUGUAGGAGUGAAAUCCGUAGAUAUUAGGAGGAACACCGGUGGCGAAGGCGGCUACCUGGACCGAUAUUGACGCUGAGACGCGAAAGCGUGGGGAGC